CCUACGGGUGGCAGCAGUGGGGAAUAUUGCACAAUGGGGGAAACCCUGAUGCAGCGACGCCGCGUGAGUGAAGAAGUAUUUCGGUAUGUAAAGCUCUAUCAGCAGGGAAGAAAAUGACGGUACCUGACUAAGAAGCCCCAGCUAACGACGAUCCAGCAGCAGCGGUAAUACGUAGGGGGCAAGCGUUAUCCGGAUUUACUCGGUGGAAAGGGCGCGUAGAAGGUUAAUCAAGUCAGAAGUGAAAACCCAGGGCUCAACCUUGGGACUGCUUUUGAAACUGAGAAGCUAGAGUGCAGGAGAGGUAAGCGGAAUUCCCAGGGUAGCGGUGAAAUGCGUAGAUAUUAGGAGGAACACCAGUGGCGAAGGCGGCUUGCUGGGUCGAUACUGACAUUGAGGCACGAAAGCGUGGGGAGCAAACAGGAUUAGAUACCCGAGUAGUC
rnacentral:rRNA from 1 species